rnacentral:lncRNA from 1 species
GGGAAGUCUCCCUAUGGACUGAUAGGAUGAGAAGGAGUAGGGCAUCUCUAGAAAUUGGUGUUGAUUGCUUCUAUAGAACAGCUCUUUCACAGAAUGUGCUUAGACUAGCUAGGUGACGAGAGCAGGCUCAUCAAGAGUUGUGGCAGUGAAGGAUUUCUCAGUUGUUCUUAUGAGAAAGCUCAAAAACCAAUGAGAUGGUAUGCCCCUCAAGACUUCUCUCCUGUGGCCGAUUGUGAAGCUAGCCCCACAUUUGAAUUCCCUUCUUGGUUCGCUGUUGGGUAUGGUAUGGUAUUUGUUCCAUCUCAGCCAGGAAAGAGCUUACCAAUACUGAGAUAGCACUUUUUACUGGUGGCUAAACUGCCAAAAGGG